GCCGGGGUGGUGGAAUGGUAGACACCGGGGACUUAAAAUCCCCUCUUCGAAAGAGGGUACGGGUUCAACUCCCGUCCCCGGCA
rnacentral:tRNA from 1 species